UACGAAGGGGGCUAGCGUUGCUCGGAAUUACUGGGCGUAAAGGGAGCGUAGGCGGAUAGUUUAGUCAGAGGUGAAAGCCCAGGGCUCAACCUUGGAAUUGCCUUUGAUACUGGCUAUCUUGAGUACGGAAGAGGUAUGUGGAGCUCCGAGUGUAGAGGUGAAAUUCGUAGAUAUUCGGAAGAACACCAGUGGCGAAGGCGACAUACUGGUCCGUUACUGACGCUGAGGCUCGAAAGCGUGGGGAGCAAACAGG
rnacentral:rRNA from 1 species